GAUGAAGAACGUAGCGAAAUGCGAUAAGUAAUGUGAAUUGCAGAAUUCAGUGAAUCAUCGAAUCUUUGAACGCACAUUGCGCCCGCCAGUAUUCUGGCGGGCAUGCCUGUUCGAGCGUCAUUACAACCCUCAGGCCCCCGGGCCUGGCGUUGGGGAUCGGCGGAAGCCCCCUGCGGGCACAACGCCGUCCCCCAAAUACAGUGGCGGUCCCGCCGCAGCUUCCAUUGCGUAGUAGCUAACACCUCGCAACUGGAGAGCGGCGCGGCCACGCCGUAAAACACCCAACUUCUGAAUGUUGACCUCGAAUCAGGUAGGAAUACCCGCUGAACUUAAGCAUACCAAUAAGCGGAGGA
rnacentral:misc_RNA from 1 species